rnacentral:misc_RNA from 1 species
AAGUCGUAACAAGGUUUCCGUAGGUGAACCUGCGGAAGGAUCAUUAACACGUGUUCCACGUUAAACAAACCCCGUCUAUCUUCGGAUUGAUGGGCACCAAACAACCAUAGCCCUUCACGGGGCCUGCGUAGUUAUGUGGUUUUGUCGAGAGCCCAAGGUUGCGGACUUGAGGCAAGCCACAUUUUGUUAACCUUUCUUUUUUAAUUACUAUUUUUGUUUUGAGAGAUGUCAUCUUGUAUGAUAUCUUUUAAUACAAACUUUGUACAACUCUUAGCAACGGAUGUCUUGGUUUCC